GACGAACGCUGGCGGCGUGCCUAAUACAUGCAAGUAGAACGCACAGUUUAUACCGUAGCUUGCUACACCAUAGACUGUGAGUUGCGAACGGGUGAGUAACGCGUAGGUAACCUGCCUGGUAGCGGGGGAUAACUAUUGGAAACGAUAGCUAAUACCGCAUAAUAUUAAUUAUUGCAUGAUAAUUAAUUGAAAGGUGCAAUUGCACCACUACCGGAUGGACCUGCGUUGUAUUAGCUAGUAGGUGAGGUAACGGCUCACCUAGGCGACGAUACAUAGCCGACCUGAGAGGGUGAUCGGCCACACUGGGACUGAGACACGGCCCAGACUCCUACGGGAGGCAGCAGGAGGGAAUCUUCGGCAAUGGACGAAAGUCUGACCGAGCAACGCCGCGUGAGUGAAGAAGGUUGUCGGAUCGUAAAGCUCUGUUGUAAGAGAAGAACGGGUGUGAGAGUGGAAAGUUCACAAUGUGACGGUAUCUUACCAGAAAGGGACGGCUAACUACGUG
rnacentral:rRNA from 1 species